CGUGAGAUGUUGGGUUAAGUCCCGUAACGAGCGCAACCCUUGUCCCUAGUUGCCAGCGGUCCGGCCGGGCACUCUAGGGAGACUGCCGGUGACAAACCGGAGGAAGGUGGGGACGACGUCAAGUCAUCAUGGCCCUUACGACCUGGGCUACACACGUGCUACAAUGGCCGGUACAAAGGGCAGCGAAGCGGCGACGCGGAGCGAAUCCUUCAAAACCGGUCGUAGUCCGGAUUGGAGUCUGCAACUCGACUCCA
rnacentral:rRNA from 1 species